rnacentral:lncRNA from 1 species
CGUCAUGGCGCCCGAGGAGAACGCGGGAUCGAACUCUUGCUGCAGGGUUUCGAUCGCCGCUUCCUGGCGGCGCGCACACUGCGCUCCUUCCCCUGGCAUCUUAGAAGCAAAGUUAAGAGACUCAUCAGAUUCUGAGCUGCUGCGGGAUAUUUUGCAGAAGACUGUGAAGCAUCCUGUGUGUGUGUGAAGCACCCGCCGUCAGUCAAGUAUGCCCGGUGCUUUCUCUCAGAACUCAUCAAAAAGCACGAGGCUGUCCACACGGAGCCUUUGGACGAGCUGUACGAGGGGCUGGCAGAGACUCUGAUGGUCAAGGAGUCCACCCAGGGCCACCGGAGCUAUUUGCUGCCCUCGGGAGGCUCGGUCACAAUCUCCGAGAGCACAGCCAUCAUCUCUCACGGUACCACAGGCCUGGUCACAUGGGACGCCACCCUCUGCCUUGCAGAAUGGGCCAUCGAGAACCCAGCAGCCUUCACUAACAGGACUGUCCUAGAACUUGGCAGUGGUGCCGGCCUCACAGGCCUUGCCAUCUGCAAGAUGUGCCGCCCCCGGGCAUACAUCUUCAGCGACCCUCACAGCCGGGUCCUCGAGCAGCUCCAAGGGAAUGUCUUUCUCAAUGGCCUCUCAUUAGAGGCAGACAUCACUGCCAACUUAGACAGCCCCAGGGUGACAGUGGCCCAGCUGGACUGGGACGUAGCGACGGUCCAUCAGCUCUCUGCCUUCCAGCCAGAUGUUGUCAUUGCAGCAGACGUGCUGUAUUGCCCAGAAGCCAUCGUGUCGCUGGUCGGGGUCCUGCGGAGGCUGGCUGCCUGCCAGGAGCACAAGCGGGCUC